rnacentral:lncRNA from 1 species
UGAUAAUGACUUGCGCAGCGGGGAGCUUUGGGGCACUGUUACCCUAGCGGAGGCGGGGGACCCUUCACCUGGAUGGUGCUGAACAUCCAAACUGAACAUUCUCUUAGAUUACAUCCAGUCUUUGUGCAAAGUGGAAAUGGCAUCACUCUGAAGAUGGCAGGCCUAUCUCUGGUCUUGGGAGCCUUGCAAUUGCCCAACUUUGCCAUUUUCUGUCGCUGGCCUUGGAUUAAUCCUCACCUUCUUAUCCUGUUUAGGGGCUCCUAGAAGAACCUGCUUGGCCAAUGUUGUGGAACAUCAUAAUAAUAAUAAUAAUAAUAAUAAAUAAAUUUUAUUUAUAUCCCGCCCUCCCCAGCCGAAGCCGGGCUCAGGGCGGCUAACAACAAUAAAACAGUACAAAAGUACAGCAUAAACAACAGUCUAAAAUCAUUCGUUAUAAAAUUAAUUAAUUCAAGCCACUGGCAACCAUUGGGCCAGAGCUCCACGAAGAUUGCUGAGGGAGGGAGUCAGGCUGUGCCCUGGCCAAAGGCCUGGUGGAAUAGCUCUGUCUUGCAGGCCCUGCGGAAAGAUGUCAAGUCCCACAGGGCCCUGGUCUCUUGUGACAGAGUGUUCCACCAGAUCCGAGCCACAGCCGAAAAAGCCCUGGCUCCAGUUGAGGCCAGCCUAACUUCUCUGUGGCCUGGGACCUUCAAGAUGUUUUUAUUCAAAGACCGUAAGUUUCUCUGUGGGGCAUACCAGGAGAGGCGGUCCCGUAGGUACGAGGGUCCUAGGCCGUAUAGGGCUUUAAAGGUUAAAACCAGCACCUUAAACCUGAUCCUGUACUCCACCGGGAGCCAGUGCAGCUGGUAUAGUACCGGAUGAAUGUGGUCACACAGCGAAGACCCCAUAAGGAGUCUCGCCGCGGCAUUCUGCACCCGCUGGAGUUUCUGGGUCAGUCUCAAGGGCAGCCCCACGUAGAGCGAGUUACAAUAAUCCAGUCUGGAGGUGACCGUCGCGUGGAUCACAGUGGCUAGGUCAGGGCGAGAGAGAUAAGGAUCAUCAUCAUCAUUAUUAUUAUUACUACAGUGGACGCCCGGGUUGCGAACAUGAUCCGUGCGGGAUGCCCGUUCGCAUCCCGCAGUGUUCGCAACCCACAGCAGCAUGUCUGUGCAUGUGCAGGUUGCGAUUCAGCGCUUCUGCACAUGCGCAACCCCCGAAACCCGGAAGUAACCCACUCCGGUACUUCCGGGUUUCAGCGGGUCCGUAACCCAAAAAAACGCAACCUGAAGCAUCUGUAACCCAAGGUGUGACUGUACUACUACUAAAAUAUGUAUACAGUGGUACCUCAGGUUAAGAACUUAAUUCGUUCUGGAGGUCCGUUCAUAACCUGAAACUGUUCUUAACCUGAAGCACCACUUUAGCUAAUGGGGCCUCCCUCUGUCACUGCGCCACCGCCACACGAUUUCUGUUCUCAUCCUGAAGCAAAGUUCUUAACCCGAGGUAAUAUUUAUGGGUUAGCGGAGUCUGUAACCUGAAGCGUAAUGUAACCCGAGGUACCACUGUACCGCCUUAUACCUGAGAUGUGAACAGAAGCACCUGAGAUGGAUUUAAACACACACUUUUUUUGCUAUUGUGGAUAGGCAACAAAAACACAUUUAUUGCAGUGGUGGCCAAUAUGGCACUAUCAAGGUGUUGUUGGGUUACAACUCAUAUCAACCCAUCAGCAUGGCCAAUGGUGAGGGAGACUUUCUUCUUCUCUCCUCAUUCAUUCUCUUUUCACAUUGUGUCUGGUAGAUGGUGAGCCAGGACUACCUUACCUUUUAAUAUACGUGCAGUGCUUUAUAAGAUGAUAAUAAUAAUAAUUUCUGGAGUUGGGAUCCAACAAUACCUGGAGGUCACUAUUAUGAAAUCCUCUCCCUGGCGAAGGAUGUCUGUCUUAAGCCACAGGGUUACACGUUGCCAGAAGGGUGGGAUCUGCCCAACUUUUCCUUUCCAGCCUUGUGAGCCAGGGCUGUGUAACUAUUAAGUCAUAGAUCGCUGAU